AGUGUUUUUGUAAUUCAAAGUAAUUUUUUAAACUUUAUAAUAAUUUUUUUCACAGGUGUCCCAGUUUCGCUGUUGCGAAGCGAUUUUCUUAUCUUCAUACUUGAAAAAGUAGAUGUUUAUAAUAAGCGUUUAUCGAUCGUUAAAUACAAACACACAGGUUCUAUGGCUUCCAGAUAAUCGGUAAAGCUUACCUAUUCUUAACAGCUCAUUAAAAAUCUGUCUAUAUGCUAGAAAAGAUAGAUAAACUCACAAGUUUAAUAAUUGGAACGAAGAGCGACAGUUUUUCCAAUUUUAUUGCACACUCCUAACCUCUUUUUUCUGCAUCGGGCAUUUGACAGUUCGCUCCUCUGCGGUGUUGUUUUUGUUUAUCUAUGCAAGCGGUAGGAGCCGUAGCUUUUCGUACCGCAGUUUAUCCUGUUUUUCACCGAUUCUCACGAGGUUACCAGGUCAAUAAUGGAUAUAAAGCGAAGAUUCCGAAACCCAGCAUUUCAGCUCCCCUUCCAGUGAAAAGUUGUAAAAAGUACACGGAAGACUCUCUUCGACGGGCUGCUGUCGCCGUGAAAUCCAAUGCAAUGACGUUGGGGCUGGCAUUCAAAUGCUUCGGAGUGCCGAAAUCUACAAUUAAGUUUCGAUUGAGUCAAAAAUGAACGAGAAAAUUUCCGGUCUGCAAACUAUGCUCACGACUGAAGAGGAAUCGAAGCUUGUAACUUGGCUGCAGGAAAUGGAGUGUCGUGGUUUUCCCCUGUACGAAGCAUACCCUUAUUUCGAGGGUUAAAGCCUUCUUGGGCAGAAGCCCGCGUGACUCUUUGUUCAAAAAUAACACACCAGGUUACAAAUGGUUGCAACUUUUCCUUGGCCGUCACAAACAGCCAGCUUUUCGAACUCCGGAGAGCAUUUCUAUGUCCAGCGUGACCUUACGUGAAUUGGACCUUCGGAGCUGGUUUGAACACAUUCGUAAUUACGCGACGGAUCAUAAAAUCGAGGAUAUUUUCAAAGACCCGCGACGUGUUCUUAAUGACGAUGAAACUUCGUUUGUUUUCGAUCCCAUCACAAGAGCUGUUGUUGCAUCC